rnacentral:lncRNA from 1 species
CCAAUCAGCUCGCGCUGGCCUCGUGUGACGUCACGCGCCAGCUGGUUCUCGGAACAAAAGCGGUCUGCGCGCUCCGCUCCUCCCCGCCGGAUACCACCGAGAAAACGCGGACGCGUUCGUUUUUAGCGUCAAAGUUAGUUUUAUAGGAAUGUGCGGCGUGACAUACGCCCGCAUACAGUGUAAAAGUGUAAAUCCCGGCGAGUGUUUGUGUCCGCGCUGAAGCUCCGAGGGAUUCUCGCGAGAGAGUUCGAGGCCUGAUAAAAGUCGUCCGGCUGACGUGGAUCCUCCUUCAUUCCUGCAGUGAUCCGGAAGAAGCAGCAAGGCAUGGAGGUGCUGCCGACUCCACUCUGGACUUCUUCUUGUGCAUGGGACCGUGUCAUCUCUUCUGAUUGGCUGCCGCUCACCGGUCCGUCCUGCUCAUGAGGUAACCCCGGCUGUGGUUGUUG